rnacentral:rRNA from 1 species
UGACGGUACUUGACUAAGAAGCCCCGGCUAACUACGUGCCAGCAGCCGCGGUAAUACGUAGGGGGCAAGCGUUAUCCGGAUUUACUGGGUGUAAAGGGAGCGUAGACGGCAUCGUAAGUCUGAUGUGAAAGGCAGGGGCUCAACUCCUGGACUGCAUUGGAAACUACGAAGCUUGAGUGCCGGAGGGGUAAGCGGAAUUCCUAGUGUAGCGGUGAAAUGCGUAGAUAUUAGGAGGAACACCAGUGGCGAAGGCGGCUUACUGGACGGUAACUGACGUUGAGGCUCGAAAGCGUGGGGAGCAAACAGGAUUAGAUACCCUG